rnacentral:rRNA from 1 species
GACGAACGCUGGCGGCGUGCUUAACACAUGCAAGUCGAACGGAAAGACCCUGCUUUUGUGGGGUGCUCGAGUGGCGAACGGGUGAGUAACACGUGAGUAACCUGCCCUUGACUUUGGGAUAACUUCAGGAAACUGGGGCUAAUACCGGAUAGGAGCUCCUGCUGCAUGGUGGGGGUUGGAAAGUUUCGGCGGUUGGGGAUGGACUCGCGGCUUAUCAGCUUGUUGGUGGGGUAGUGGCUUACCAAGGCUUUGACGGGUAGCCGGCCUGAGAGGGUGACCGGCCACAUUGGGACUGCGAUACGGCCCAGACUCCUACGGGAGGCAGCAGUGGGGAAUAUUGCACAAUGGGCGGAAGCCUGAUGCAGCAACGCCGCGUGCGGGAUGACGGCCUUCGGGUUGUAAACCGCUUUCGCCUGAGACGAAGCGUGAGUGACGGUAAUGGGUAAAGAAGCACCGGCUAACUACGUG